rnacentral:snRNA from 1 species
AUUUCUCUUUCCAGUAUCUGUUCUUAUCAGCUUAAUAUCUGAUACGGGUCCUAUUUGGACCCAAGAUAUUAAUCUUAUUUUUGGAAUGCGGCGUAGUGCUUGAGGUUUACCUCACCUAUGCCACGGGUUGGCCUGGUAUUGCACUGCCUCCGGGAUCGGCCCACCCUCC